UACGGAGGGUGCAAGCGUUGUCCGGAUUUAUUGGGUUUAAAGGGUACGUAGGCGGAUAUCUAAGUCAGUGGUGAAAGCCCACAGCUCAACUGUGGAACUGCCAUUGAUACUGGAUAUCUUGAGUAUAGUAGAGGUGGGCAGAAUUCAUGGUGUAGCGGUGAAAUGCAUAGAUACCAUGAGGAAUACCGAUAGGGAAGCCAGCUCACUGGACUAUAACUGACGCUAAGGUACGAAAGCGUGGGGAGCGAACAGG
rnacentral:misc_RNA from 1 species